rnacentral:misc_RNA from 1 species
GAUGAAGAACGCAGCGAAAUGCGAUAAGUAAUGUGAAUUGCAGAAUUCAGUGAAUCAUCGAAUCUUUGAACGCACCUUGCACUCCUUGGUAUUCCGAGGAGUACGCCUGUUCGAGUGUUAUGAAGCUCUCAAAACGCAAUUGGCUUAAAACCUGAUUGUUGUUUUGGAUUUGAACUUUGCCGUGUUAUAACGGCUGGUUUUAAAAGUAUUAGCUGGUACUAGAACGAAUUGGUUCUACUCAACGUGAUAAUUAUCUGAUCGUUGAGGACAUUCCUUUCACGAGGAAUGGCCAUAGUAAAUUCAAUGGACUGCUUCUAAUCUCGCUUUAAUUCUUUAUUGGAUUAACCACUUUUCAAAUCUGACCUCGAAUCAGGUGGGACUACCCGCUGAACUUAAGCAUAUCAAUAAGCGGAGGA